UCUCUCGCAUACCCCUUUCCUUCGUUUAUUGCCGCUCUGUUUACAAUGUUUACUUUCACUUGUAUGUUUACAUCGAACUUUGGAAGCGGCGCACGUCGGAAUUCGGAAUAUGUUGCGCGAGUGGCGAGUGGCGAGAAGCGACUGUGGCCUGUGCGAGUAGCGACACGGUCGAACGGCAAGGCGAAGGCGGGAAGGAGGAAACAGGAGGGAAGGCGAGAGUGUUUAUGAAAAUUUUGGGCGACCCAGAGCCAGAGCCAGAGCGAGAAGCGAGAGCGAGGCUAAAAAUAAAUGCGAUUUAUAGACGUGCGCAAGUGCGCAGUGACGACGAUCAUACAGCCGAACAAAAGCGCACUCGCUAGUCAAUUAAUCGACUAAAAAGUGCAAUAGAGACGAGGACAACGUUGUCCGGAUAUAUAAUAUUAAAAGUCUAUCUAUUUACGUUACGUAUAUUAUAGAUUUUCUGUACUGACAAUGUAUUACGGUGUAUAUCGGAGCAUAACCAAAGAACAGCUUCGAUUGAUAUAAAUCUACUAUUUUCAACUGCACUUUCCUUCCUCUCUCCUUGCCAAAGCUUGAACGCAACACCUGUUUCCCUUUAAAUGCAGCUGAAAAGAAUAAAUUUACGCAUUUGAUCGCGUCUUCUUUACGUCUCAUUUCCUUGACAAAUCCUUGUUGAUACUGAAAUUUCAUAUUUAUUUUGCCUUAAAUGUGUAAAAAAGAAAGAAUAACUAUUCGAAGAGGAACCUCUAAUAUAUAUAAUGUAUUAGAUCUAGCUACACCUUUUGCAUCUGCACAUUUGAUUUUUUUAUGCAUUUAAAUCUUAUAUCUAUAGCAUUUAAUUUAAAUGUAAAACAUGUAAAAAGCAAGAAGGAAAUGCGAGAUUUAAAAAAAAAAA